rnacentral:lncRNA from 1 species
CUUGCUUUUAAUCAUUUUAACACCUUCGGACUUUCCGAAGUGUACCGUCCUCGCACUUUGGUCAAUUUGACUAAAGUUCGACAUUUUUAUUUUCCGAAUUUUCGGUAUAUUACAUUCUCCACCCCUUACAAUAAUUUCGUCCGCAAAAUUACGCAUACCUUAACUCGUCGACUCAAAUAAGUGCGGAUACUCUCUCCGCAUUGACUCCUCGAGUUCCCA